rnacentral:rRNA from 1 species
ACGCUGGCGGCGUGCAUAACACCUGCAAGUUCUAAACGGGGUUGCCAUAUGGAAGACGGAAUAGUUUACUAGGGAAGUUGGAAGUAGGUAACUUAGUGGCGGACGGGUGAGUAACGCGUGAGGACCUGUCCAUUGCAGGGGGACAACAGUUGGAAACGGCUGCUAAUACCGCAUAUGCCUUUAGGGGUGAAAGGAUGUUAAAAUCCGGCAAUGGAGGGACUCGCGUCCUAUCAGCUAGUAGGUGAGGUAACGGCUCACCUAGCGAUGACGGGUAGCCGGCCUGAGAGGGCGCACGGCCACACUGGGACUGAGAUACGGCCCAGACUCCUACGGGAGGCAGCAGUGGGGAAUAUUGGGCAAUGGGCGAAAGCCUGACCCAGCGACGCCGCGUGAGUGAAGAAGUCUUUCGGGACGUAAAACUCUUUUGUACGGGAAGAAGACGAUGACGGUACCGUACGAAUAAGCCCCGGCAAACUACGUGCCAGCAGCCGCGAGUAAUACGUAGGGGGCAAGCGUUGUCCGGAAUUACUGGGCGUAAAGGGCACGCAGAGCGGAUUGCUAAAGUCACGUUUGUGAACAUAUUGAGAGCUUCAAACUUGGAUUUGUCGCACUGAUACUGGUAGUCUUUGAGUAUGUGAGAGGGACAGUGGAAAUUCCCGGUGUAGCGGUGGAAUGCGUAGAUAUCGGGAGGACCACAGUGGCGAACGCGGUUCCUGGACACAUUAAUUGAAGCCUCCAUGUGCGAAAACUACGGCUAGCGA